UGGGGAAUAUUGGACAAUGGGCGAAAGCCUGAUCCAGCCAUGCCGCGUGUGUGAAGAAGGCCUUUUGGUUGUAAAGCACUUUAAGCGAGGAGGAGGCUCCUAUAGAUAAUACCUAUAGAGAGUGGACGUUACUCGCAGAAUAAGCACCGGCUAACUCUGUGCCAGCAGCCGCGGUAAUACAGAGGGUGCAAGCGUUAAUCGGAUUUACUGGGCGUAAAGCGUACGUAGGUGGUCUUUUAAGUCGGAUGUGAAAUCCCUGAGCUUAACUUAGGAAUUGCAUUCGAUACUGGGAGACUAGAGUAUGGGAGAGGAUGGUAGAAUUCCAGGUGUAGCGGUGAAAUGCGUAGAGAUCUGGAGGAAUACCGAUGGCGAAGGCAGCCAUCUGGCCUAAUACUGACACUGAGGUACGAAAGCAUGGGGAGCAAACA
rnacentral:rRNA from 1 species